ACAGAUUUUAGCCUACUGGUAUUGACUAUGACUGCUUCCUCCUCUAUCUCCAUUGCUUCCAGUACUGUAGCACUACCUGGGAUAUUUUUUAGGGGACAUGGAGAAAAUGACAAGACAAUUAUUAGUUCCAAACCAGAAUAAUUGAAGAAACAAUAAAAACACCAAUAACACAGACUAAUUGAAAUCAUACACUCCUUUUAAAUUACCAAUUGGAAUAAUAUAGUAUCAGACUAUCAAUCACACAUGCACAAAGACGGCAUAUAUAUGCCAAAAAUUGACAACCCUUUUAUAUAUCUUCACCAAGAAUUGGAAGGUCUCAAUGCACAUAAAAGUUGCACCAAAAUUUCAAUAGACUAUUAUAAACCUCAACCUCUAAAAGAACUUUAAUAAAGAAUUAAUAAGUAAUACUUGGGAGAAAAAGGGAGUACAUACUAACCACCAGGGACAGGACUAUAUUGCAUGAAGGGUAACAAUUAUACUAAGCAUAUAGGGUAAAAAAAUUUAAAAUAUAAAUUGUUGAAUUCCCUAGGCAUAAGGGAAUGUUCUAAUGUCGAGGUAAAGGUGGCUCCAAAAUUGCUUCAAGUUGCGGUUCAAGCGCUAUCUGACAUUCUGUUUUUCUUUUUUGGUCUCCUUGUUAGAAUUCUGCUAUCAAUAAUACAUGUAUUUCACUAUUUAACAGAGCUUUCUUUUUAGUUGUCAAAAGUUCUCAAUACUUCCAACAUUACAAUAUUGCAUUACCAAUGUGGCUUUGCAUUUGAUGUUCUUUUAAGCUGUUACUCUAGAAAUAUAUCUCAACAAAUGAUUAGGGUCCAUUCCUCCAGCUGUACACUGUUUACCAUUAUAUACAACAAAAACAUAUACAGUGGAGUAUGAGGAGCAUAGAGUGUGCACAAACCUUACCCCUACUUCUUUGAAUAGAAAGGUUGUUUCCGAAAGACCCUCGGCUCAAGCAACGCAUAACAAAGCAAUUUGAAAAAGCAAAUACAGCAGUAAACUAAGCACAAAUUAGAGGUUGAAGGAAUAAUUCAACGAGUAGUGUUGUAAAAGUCUAGGCAGACUAAGUUACCCAAUACAUUCUGCUUCAUAUCAAUCAAAACCACCAAAGACAACAAGAAAUUUACAAUUAGACUAAGCAUUAGCGAAUAUAGCCAGCUGCACCAAAAUUCCUGGUUAAUUUAAAAAGCACAACAUUGUUUACAAACCAAAGAUGGAAACUUAAACCAGGAAUUAAAGGUUGAGAAUCAAAAUUCAACAAGUAGUGUUGUAAAAUCCUAGUUCAACAUACUUACCCCGUAUGUGCUCUGAUGGAAAGUGAUGGUAAGUAGGAGGUACCCCAUGAAAUUAAUUGAGGUGUGGUGCGCGCAUGCUGGCACGCCACGUUGAACAACAACAACGAAAAACAGACGUGUUUGCAAUAUGGAUAUCAAUAUCCAUUUUGCUUCAUUGCAUCCUAAGACCCACCAAAGACAACAACAACAUAUCCAGUGUACUCCCACAAACUAGGGUCUAGACCUUACCCUUACCUCAGACGUAGAGAGGCUGUUCCCGAUACACCCUCAGCAACACCCACCAAAGAUAACAACAAGAAUUCAUAAUUAAACUAAACACUAGCAAAAUUCUAGCCAACACAACACACCAAAAUUCCUAAUUAACUUACAAAGCACUACAAUAACAACAUACUCUGUGUAAUCCCACAAGUGAGGUCCACAAAACUCAAGGGGGUUUACAAAAUGGUAGAGUAUACAUAAGCCUUAACCCUACCUGGUAAAGGUAGAGAGAGCCUGUUUCCAAAAGACCCCUUAGCUCAAGUGCAGUAUUUACAAAGAACGGCAUUAUUCCCAAACCAAGAAUUGAAACUUUAAGCUCAAAUUAGAGCUCAAAAUGCAAAAUUCAAAGAGUAAACUAUGUAAAAAAGCUCAACCAAUAACCAAUUUUGCACCCCCCAACCCGAGCCUCCACAACCCACCAACGAAAACCAGAAAGAAUUUUACUGUUAAACUAGGCAUUACAACACAGACAAAAAAAAACACUAGGUGAUUCUUCCCAUAUGUCCUAUCCUUGGCGGACAGAGUUACCUAAUAUCAUCCUUGGAUUUAGUCAAGGUGCGCGAAAACUGGCCCAGAAACCACAAUUAUCAAAAGAAAAAAAAACUAAGCAUUAGCUAAAUUCUAGCCAAUACACCUCGCUAAUUCACAAAAUAUUGUUCUUAAAUAAUAACUUUAAGCACAAAUUAAUGCUCAAAAUGCAAAACUUAACCAUUUUUUUUUUCCUCAAAAUACAAUCUUUAAGCACAAAUUAAUGCUCAAAAUGCAAAAUUCAAAGAGUAAACUAUGUAAAAGAGCUCAACCCAAUAACCAAUUUUGCACAAAUUAAUGCUCAAAAUGCAAAAUUCAAAGAGUAAACUAUGUAAAAAAGCUCCACCCAAUAACAAAUUUUGCACAAAUUAAUGCUCAAAAUGCAAAAUUCAAAGAGUAAACAACGUAAAAAAGCUCUACCCAGUACCCAAUUUUGCACAAAUUAGUGCUCAAAAUGCAAAAUUCAAAGAGUAAAAACGUAAAAAAGCUCAACUCAGUACCAAAUUUCACAUUCCCAAACCGGGUCAGCACAACCCGCUAACCCGAACCCAUAACCCGAUCCAAUUUAGGUUAAAUUAAUAAAUUCGGGUCGGAAAAGAAGUUACAUAAUUAAAACCCUACAUGUAUACCGGAUCAGCAAACAAUACAUAUAACCCGGAAUUCAUUCGGGUCAAAAAAAUCAUACUAUCCAAAUAAAUAACACUCUACAAAACAUGGCGAAAAAAAAUAAACAGAGAAAACACACACAGUGAAGGUGUAACUAUGUGAGAAAAGAGAGAGAGAGAGACUUACGAGAAUUGUUGAAGAACUUUUUUGUUGUUACAGAAGAAAAAGAGGAAUUUAGGGUUUGUUUUAUUGUGAAUUUACGUAAAGGGAAACACGCAGUGAAGGUGUAACUGUGUGAAAAAAGAGGGAAAAAGAUGAGCCUGCCAAGGAUUUUUG
rnacentral:lncRNA from 1 species